UACGUAGGGUGCGAGCGUUGUCCGGAAUUAUUGGGCGUAAAGAGCUCGUAGGCGGUCUGUCGCGUCGGUCGUGAAAACUUGGGGCUUAACCCUGAGCUUGCGGUCGAUACGGGCAUGACUGGAGUUCGGCAGGGGAGACUGGAAUUCCUGGUGUAGCGGUGAAAUGCGCAGAUAUCAGGAGGAACACCGGUGGCGAAGGCGGUUCUCUGGGCAUGUCCUGACGCUGAGGAGCGAAAGUGUGGGGAGCGAACAGG
rnacentral:rRNA from 1 species